rnacentral:rRNA from 1 species
UGCCUACGGGACGCAGCAGUGGGGGAUAUUGCACAAUGGGGGGAACCCUGAUGCAGCGACGCCGCGUGGGUGAAGAAGCGCCUCGGCGCGUAAAGCCCUGUCAGCAGGGAAGAAAAUGACGGUACCUGAAGAAGAAGCCCCGGCUAACUACGUGCCAGCAGCCGCGGUAAUACGUAGGGGGCAAGCGUUAUCCGGAUUUACUGGGUGUAAAGGGAGCGUAGACGGCAGCGCAAGUCUGAAGUGAAAUCCCAUGGCUUAACCAUGGAACUGCUUUGGAAACUGUGCAGCUGGAGUGCAGGAGAGGG